UAGGCUGCAACUCGCCUACACGAAGUCGGAAUCGCUAGUAAUCGUAGGUCAGCAUACUACGGUGAAUACGUUCCCGGGCCUUGUACACACCGCCCGUCAAACCAUGAGAGUUGGCAACACCCGAAGUCGGUAGUCUAACCGCAAGGAGGACGCCGCCGAAGGUGGGGUUGAUGAUUAGGGUUAAGUCGUAACAAGGUAUC
rnacentral:rRNA from 1 species